rnacentral:tRNA from 1 species
GGGUGAUUAGCUCAGUUGGUAGAGCAUUUGCUCGACAUGCAAAGGGUCGGCGGUUCGAGACCGUCAUCACCCACCA